UGAGGAAUAUUGGUCAAUGGGCGCAAGCCUGAACCAGCCAAGUCGCGUGAGGGAAGACGGUCCUAUGGAUUGUAAACCUCUUUUUGUUCGGGGGAGCAAAGCGCGGUACGAGUACCGCGAAGGAGAGUACCCGAAGAAAAAGCAUCGGCUAACUCCGUGCC
rnacentral:rRNA from 1 species